CAGGACUCCCAGGUGUCCACUCAGUGAUUGCACUGAACACAGACGCUCACCAUGGAGAUUGGGCUGCGCUGGGUUCUCCUGGUCGCUGUGCUCAAAGGUGUCCAGUGUCAGCAGCUGGAGGAGUCCGGGGGAGGCCUGGUCAAGCCUGGGGGAUCCCUGAAACUCUGCUGCAAAGCCUCUGGAUUCACCUUCAGUAGCUACUGGAUGUGCUGGAUUCGCCAGGCUCCAGGGAAGGGGCUGGAGUGGAUCGGAUGCAUUUAUCCUGGUAGUGGUAGCACAUACUACGCGAGCUGGGUGAAUGGCCGAUUCACCAUCUCCAGAGACAACGCCCAGAACACAGUUUGCCUACAACUGAACAGUCAGACAGUCGCGGACACGGCCAUGUAUUACUGUGCGAGAGACACAGUGAGGGGCCCCAGGGCUGAGCCCAGACACAAACCUCCCUGCAGGGGCGCGCGGCUCCACCAGGGGGCGCACACGACGUACCGAGAGCACAUUCUGGCCUUGAGCAGGCGCAGGAAGAGAUGA